rnacentral:misc_RNA from 1 species
AACUUUUGGCAACGGAUCUCUUGGCUCUAGCAUCGAUGAAGAACGCAGCGAAACGCGAUAGGUAAUGCGAAUUGCAGAAUUCCGUGAGUCAUCGAAUCUUUGAACGCACAUUGCGCCCGCCGGCAUUCUGGCGGGCAUGCCUGUUCGAGCGUCAUUUCAACCCUCGGGCCCGUCCCGGUGUUGGGGUCCUGCUGUAAUCUGCAGGCCCCGAAUGACAGUGGCGGAACCGCCGAACUCUCAGCGUAGUAAUUUUUCUCGUUGGGGACAACAGCGGUCGCUUGCCGUUAAACAACCACUAUUUUUUAAUUGUUUGACCUCGGAUCAGGUAGGAAUACCCGCUGAACUUAAGCAUAUCAAUAAGCGGAGGCU